CAUAAUCAACAAGAGUGUCAACCUGCCACGAAGGUCUAUGAGUGGUCUGCUGCUCCUCUUCGUGGAGC
rfam:Nematostella vectensis strain CH2 x CH6 NEMVEscaffold_427_Cont26943, whole genome shotgun sequence.